GAACUUAUUGGUUUUUAUGACCAACCAUCUACUGCCAGCCAAGGGAAGAACAUGGAUGUCUUGUGAUCUGUUUUCAAGGGCUGUCUCACAAAAUGCUUACUGUGGUUGGCGGACUGCAGAGAACAACUCCUGCCCAGUGGGACCAGGUGGGGACUGUCAUUCAUAUUGUUGCCAUUAUCAUUUUAAAGACAGGGAACAGGUGGAAUACUUUGUCUCCCAAAGGGACCAAGAUGAAAGCUGUAUGUGGCCACAUUUUUCCUUAAGAAGGAACCAUGGAAGAAAAAUUCAAUUUUGCAGAGCAGCCUGAGGGUUAAAUGAUUAACAGAGGUGCAGUUUUCAUUCAUAAACAUGAAUGAAAGGCAAGGAAACUGGGAUGUCAAAUCGUGGCAGAUAAGAACUAUCAGGAGGCCUCAUUUUUAAUUGCAAGUUUUAACUCCAGAAGAGAUGGCUUAGGAAUUCUAGUUGAAUGUGGAAAUGUAAGGAUUUAUUCUUCCACAUUUUAAUGAUAUAAGCUUUAGGUUCACAAGUUAUUUUUUUUUUAAAUAAAAGAUCACUCAUUUCACUUUCACUAUGUUUCCUGGCAUGUUUAGAGUGAUAGGCAAUCAAGAGUUCAGCCCGUAAAUAAAUGUAAACAAAAUCUACACCAAGAUGCCCAUUCUCCU
rnacentral:lncRNA from 1 species